rnacentral:rRNA from 1 species
UGGGGAAUUUUCCGCAAUGGACGAAAGUCUGACGGAGCAACGCCGCGUGGGUGAAGAAGGCCUUCGGGUUGUAAAGCCCUGUCUUAUGGGAAGAAGAAAGUGACGGUACCAUAGGAGGAAGCCACGGCUAACUACGUGCCAGCAGCCGCGGUAAUACGUAGGUGGCGAGCGUUGUCCGGAAUUACUGGGCGUAAAGGGCGCGUAGGCGGUUAAUUAAGUCAGGUGUGAAAACUGUGGGCUCAACCCAGAGACUGCAUCUGAUACUGGAUAACUUGAGUGCAGGAGAGGGCAGUGGAAUUCCUAGUGUAGCGGUGAAAUGCGUAGAUAUUAGGAGGAACACCAGUGGCGAAGGCGGCUGCCUGGACUGUAACUGACGCUGAGGCGCGAAAGCGUGGGGAGCGA